CCUACGGGUGGCAGCAGUGAGGAAUAUUGGUCAAUGGGCGCGAGCCUGAACCAGCCAAGUAGCGUGAAGGAUGACUGCCCUACGGGUUGUAAACUUCUUUUAUAAAGGAAUAAAGUGAGGCACGUGUGCCUCUUUGUAUGUACUUUAUGAAUAAGGAUCGGCUAACCACGUGCCAGCAGCCGCGGUAAUACGGAGGAUCCGUGCGUUAUCCGGAUUUAUUGGGUUUAAAGGGAGCGUAGAUGGGUUGUUAAGUCAGUUGUGAAAGUUUGCGGCUCAACCGUAAAAUUGCAAUUGAUACUGGCGGUCUUGAGUACAGUUGAGGUGGGCGGAAUUCGAGGUGUAGCGGUGAAAUGCUUAGAUAUCACGAAGAACUCCGAUUGCGAAGGCAGCUUACUAAACUGCCACUGACAUUGAUGCUCGAAAGUAUGGGUAUCGAACAGGAUUAGAUACCCGAGUAGUC
rnacentral:rRNA from 1 species